AGUGGCGGACGGGUGAGUAACGCGUGAGAAUCUGCCUUAGGGUCGGGGACAACCACCGGAAACAGUGGCUAAUACCGGAUGUGCCGAGAGGUGAAAGAUUUAUUGCCAUAAGAGGAGCUCGCGUCUGAUUAGCUAGUUGGUAGGGUAAAGGCCUACCAAGGCAACGAUCAGUAGCUGGUCUGAGAGGAUGAGCAGCCACACUGGGACUGAGACACGGCCCAGACUCCUACGGGAGGCAGCAGUGGGGAAUUUUCCGCAAUGGGCGAAAGCCUGACGGAGCAAUACCGCGUGAGGGAGGAAGGCUUUUGGGUUGUAAACCUCUUUUAUCAGGGAAGAAGAAAGUGACGGUACCUGAGGAAAAAGCAUCGGCUAACUCCGUGCCAGCAGCCGCGGUAAUACGGAGGAUGCAAGCGU
rnacentral:rRNA from 1 species